GGGCGUCGAGCGGCGGACGGGUGAGUAACGCAUAGGAAUCUGCCCGGUAGUGGGGGAUAACCUGGGGAAACUCAGGCUAAUACCGCAUACGUCCUACGGGAGAAAGCAGGGGACCUUCGGGCCUUGCGCUAUCGGAUGAGCCUAUGCCGGAUUAGCUGGUUGGUGAGGUAACGGCUCACCAAGGCGACGAUCCGUAGCUGGUCUGAGAGGAUGAUCAGCCACAUCGGGACUGAGACACGGCCCGAACUCCUACGGGAGGCAGCAGUGGGGAAUAUUGGACAAUGGGCGCAAGCCUGAUCCAGCCAUGCCGCGUGUGUGAAGAAGGCCCUCGGGUUGUAAAGCACUUUCAGUGGGGAAGAAGGCCUUUCGGUUAAUACCCGGGAGGAGCGACAUCACCCACAGAAGAAGCACCGGCUAACUCCGUGCCAGCAGCCGCGGUAAUACGGAGGGUGCGAGCGUUAAUCGGAAUUACUGGGCGUAAAGCGCGCGUAGGCGGCGUGAUAAGCCGGUUGUGAAAGCCCCGGGCUCAACCUGGGAACGGCAUCCGGAACUGUCAGGCUAGAGUGCAGGAGAGGAAGGUAGAAUUCCCGGUGUAGCGGUGAAAUGCGUAGAGAUCGGGAGGAAUACCAGUGGCGAAGGCGGCCUUCUGGACUGACACUGACGCUGAGGUGCGAAAGCGUGGGUAGCAAACAGGAUUAGAUACCCUGGUAGUCCACGCCGUAAACGAUGUCGACUAGCCGUUGGGGUCCUCGAGACCUUUGUGGCGCAGUUAACGCGAUAAGUCGACCGCCUGGGGAGUACGGCCGCAAGGUUAAAACUCAAAUGAAUUGACGGGGGCCCGCACAAGCGGUGGAGCAUGUGGUUUAAUUCGAUGCAACGCGAAGAACCUUACCUACCCUUGACAUCGUGCGAACUUGGUAGAGAUACCUUGGUGCCUUCGGGAGCGCACAGACAGGUGCUGCAUGGCCGUCGUCAGCUCGUGUUGUGAAAUGUUGGGUUAAGUCCCGUAACGAGCGCAACCCUUGUCCCUAUUUGCCAGCGAUUCGGUCGGGAACUCUAGGGAGACUGCCGGUGACAAACCGGAGGAAGGUGGGGACGACGUCAGGUCAUCAUGGCCCUUACGGGUAGGGCUACACACGUGCUACAAUGGCCGGUACAAAGGGAGGCGAAGCCGCGAGGUGGAGCGAAUCCCGAAAAGCCGGUCUCAGUCCGGAUCGGAGUCUGCAACUCGACUCCGUGAAGUCGGAAUCGCUAGUAAUCGUGAAUCAGAAUGUCACGGUGAAUACGUUCCCGGGCCUUGUACACACCGCCCGUCACACCAUGGGAGUGGACUGCACCAGAAG
rnacentral:rRNA from 1 species